rnacentral:rRNA from 1 species
GACGAACGCUGGCGGCGUGCUUAACACAUGCAAGUCGAACGGAAAGGCCCUGCUUUUGUGGGGUGCUCGAGUGGCGAACGGGUGAGUAACACGUGAGUAACCUGCCCUUGACUUUGGGAUAACUUCAGGAAACUGGGGCUAAUACCGGAUAGGAGCUCCUGCUGCAUGGUGGGGGUUGGAAAGUUUCGGCGGUUGGGGAUGGACUCGCGGCUUAUCAGCUUGUUGGUGGGGUAGUGGCUUACCAAGGCUUUGACGGGUAGCCGGCCUGAGAGGGUGACCGGCCACAUUGGGACUGAGAUACGGCCCGGACUCCUACGGGAGGCAGCAGUGGGGAAUAUUGCACAAUGGGCGGAAGCCUGAUGCAGCAACGCCGCGUGCGGGAUGACGGCCUUCGGGUUGUAAACCGCUUUCGCCUGUGACGAAGCGUGAGUGACGGUAAUGGGGAAAGAAGCACCGGCUAACUACGU